rnacentral:lncRNA from 1 species
CUCUCGAAAGAGAGAGAUCGACGUCGGAUCAUUUCACGUUCAUGAUUAUAACUAGGACAUAAAGAUGGCAGAUAAUUGGAAAAGUUAAAUUUUGAUUUUUUUUUGAAUGUAUCCAUUGUGUGCGUUAAUAAUAUGGUGUAUCUACUGAAGAAUUUUUUAUGCUGCAUUCCAUUGCGUACUGGCACUCAAAUUGUCAUAUGGAUAACGUGCCUGACGAGGUUGCUACUGGUCUUCACGACGAUAUACCUGGCCACGUCUCUGCUGCGAAGCGAGGCGAAUCAAAUCGUCACGAAUUACCCGCGUCCCUCCAAUAGCUCCUUCUAUUACGAAAUCGGCCACGGUGAGUUUUCCCUCUUACAUCAAUCACCAGUUUCCCGCGCACCGCGACGCCGGCGCGACGUCGACGCUUGACGGAGACGCUUCGACGUCGGUGGGACACAUCUGCGUCGGACAAAGAGGUUGGAAAGGGAGCGCGGUGGUGAGGUGACUAUAUGAAACGUGGCAUCAAGGCUAGUGUUGCCAAAGAUCGGUUGCGUCGUAUGAUACAAAAGAAAAUCAUUCUAGUUCCAGUUACCAGGUCGAAGGUGUAGCCAUAGAUAGGGCUCAGAUGCCUGAACUCCCCCCCCCCCCAUCUCAAGAAUUUUCCCCGAAAAGCGUCAUUUUUAGAAACGGAUUUUUAACUUCAGAUACCUUCUUGGCACAAGAAAUGGCGGCCCUUCCCUCUCCGUAGAAAUAGUUCAAUAUAAGUAGAGAGAAACCCAGUUUUUAAUUGGAAUACAAUGGGCCUGCUUGAUUUUUUUUGGAUGUUUGUUGCAUGAGAAAAAAUCAAAACUCUUGGUCAACUUAGUGUCUUUUUUUUCUUUAUUUACGACCGAGAGAAUCAAAUUUAAUGCUAAAAUUAUUAUUUCCUUUGAAUUUCAAUGACGUAGUUCCCUUCCCCCUGAAUGCAGUACAAGUGAUCUAAUCAGUUCAGAGAGAGAAACUAACUGCAUACAAAUCACUUGUAUGGAGUUUAUAAUCUCGCAACUAACAAACAUACCUCUAUUUGUGAGAAAAAUGUGCUCCUUUCUACUAGAUUUGGUUUGAAAGUACCAGAGUCAAAUUUCAAACAAUGGAAACUAUCGUAGAAGCGGAUUUCGAUAGCUAUGGUCCGUCCAAAAUUUCAAAUUAGCCUUUAGACUCUUUAUCUUGAGUAGAUUUAAGCAUUUUCAACGUGGAAAUAUUUUCUAAUAAAGUGAUCUAGAACCUUACUGUACACUCUUAUUUGUGCACCUGAAAAAUUGUUGUAAUGAGAGGAAAUAUGUUCAACUAUUUUAAUUUAGGGGCAAAAGCUUAUGAAGAAAAUUGAUUAAAAGGUGACACUCGUGCAAAACUAUGAAAAAGCUACCAUUUUUAUAUUCGAUAGAAAGCCUCACAGCUAAUUUAAAUACAACUGAAUAAACGAUCACAAUUUAUAAACAUUUUACGCAUAUCAUAGUGAAUAUCAAGACCAGAAGUAGAAUGCCCAAAUUAAAAUACUUCAGCGCUUAUUUCGUACACUAAGGGCUGCAGCAAUCUGCCCACUCACAAUAAUGUGCUUUGAUCUCAAACAGGAAUUGAUCAGCUACUGUUCUUCACGAAAGGAACAUACAUUCAACAUUAUGUUAUCAUGACAGGUAUCACUGCUUUCUUCCAAGUUAUAGCCUGCGCUCUCGGAAUUUUUGCCUUGGAUAAGGUAAUUAACUCAUUUAUCCACCCUUGUUUGUAUGAAAAUGGCUUAGAACCAAAAGUAGGUAAUCUUCACCAAAUUUAUUAUGAUUUCAAUUUUAAGGAAUGAGUGUAAACCUGAAAGUUUUCAUCGCAACACUCCUAGAAGACGUAGGCAGGUACUAAAAUUAAAAUUAUGGCUAAUAUAACUUCAAGGAACCACUUCAUUCAUUUCCAUAUGCGGAGUCAUCAAUUUUCAGCAUCAUUGAAGUUGGAGGCAAUAAAUCUAUCUAACCAAAUUAUCUGGAGACUUGCCAGUUUCAAGACUACUUAAAAUUUUAAUCUCUUGAUAUUGGUAACCUUCAAUUAUCUCUAAACAAUGAAAUCUCACUAGUAAAUGAUACAAUAUCAGCAUAAUUUUCAUAUAAGACAUGUAUUUCUCGUGCCUUACCAUUCACGAGUACAUGGUUUUUUAAUUGUCUAUUGCAUGGCCUCAUUAAACUUUCAUUAUUUUUAGGAUGGUUUGGCUUUUUAAAAUGAUUCAGUGUAAGAAUUUUAGAAAUGUUAAAAUCCAAUGUAUGAAUAAUAAAAUUAGCUCAAAGUUUACUGAUUUAAAAUUGUACAGGGGCGACCAGAUUAUUUCCUACCAUGGCUCAUAAUGUUCAGUCAAACGUGUAUAACGGAGACAGGAGUCUCUUGCACAAAUCUUGCCAUCAUGAGUGUUUUAGGUCACUAUCCGGAGUAUUUCAUAGCUGAUGCCAUCUCUGCAGUUUCGCAUGGUGGUAAGUAAAAGAGGAUUUGCUUUCCUCCUUCUUGAACAGAAAUAAAAUAGAAUAGGAAAUAAAGCUGUCCAACUAAUACUAGAUCAUCCUGAAAGCGCAUGAAUUUAUUACCUGUUUGUCAAGUUACGCUAUAAUGAAGAGAGCAUGAAUGAGAGGCAUUCCAGAUUUGAUAGUUCCUUUGUAGAAGGUGUUGUUAGUUUUGAAAUUAAGAAUUAUUAUAAGGAUUGAACGAAACCGCUCGCAGCCUAGUUACUCCCCUCCUUUUUGUCCAUUUUUUAAAGAGGACGAGAGCUAUGUCAGCCGAUCCUGUUCGAUUUCUAAUUUCAGCGUCAUUUUAUGGUAAUAUCACGCAACUUCAUGAUACAUUUGUAUGCAUUUUAAAGCACGCAUAACGUUAAGAAUAUAUGAACAAAACGAUUCAAUGGCAACAGAGAGGAAUAAGUGGGAGAAAUUUAAAUGGUCCAAAUUCUACUCCGUGCGUUUCAAAUGUUGAAUGUUUCUUCUCGCAAAUUGGUCUUCUGAGGUGUUGUAAUUAUUUUACUCCAUAUUUACUUCCUACCUUUGGAUAAAGAGACAGUAAAUUAUCAGUCGAUACGAUGAUAGAAAUAAUAGAAAAAUAAUUACAUGAUUUUAUCUUUUUAUAAGUAAAUAAUUUUCAUUUGAUUCUAGUUUUCUUAGCGUAUUUCAUCUGGGUAGUGUUCAGUUUUUACAAAAAAGAGAAGCUCAAAAGAGGAAGACCAUUGCCAAGGGCACCUCCUUACUACCCGCCAUUUUGGGAGAGACCAAUCCACCCUAUAACCCGGCUGUUCAAAGUAGAGCCAAAGCCUCAACAUUACCUGCUGGUUUUGACACUCAUUGCGAAUUCACAAAAGAUGGAACUUAGUGCGCGCAGUCUGAUUUCAAAGCAAAGUAUAAACUACUGAAAAAGUCAAGCCAGGAUUAAAAAGUGAGAGCUCAAACUUAAAUUGUUUUAUUAGAUAUAAGUGCUUUUAUUAGCUUGAAGGAUAAUUAGCUUCUUCAGCGAGAAAAAAAAAUACGUAAAAGAAUGAAAAAAAAAAUGUAAAGAAUGUAAAUUUGCAGUGUUUCCUGUAAUAUUUUAGGUUUUCAAAAGAAAAUUAGCUACUUAAUAAUGUUUCUGGAAAUUUUCAGUGAACUUUCGUCAUUGAAAACAAAAAAUAAAGUUGAGCAGUCUGCUUUGAAACGUUCAACUGCGUUAUCAAAUAAGUAUUUUGAACGCUAACUAAAGGUUCACUAGUAAGGUUGGUUGGGUUUGAUAAAAAUAUGAAGUCAGUCUUACGAACAUAUAAACUACCUAGAAUUUAUUAAACGCAUUUUUAACAAAAUAAGUUAAAAAUAACUUCUAACUUGAAUGACUUAAACAAUAAUGACUUGCAAUGACUUGAAAUUUUCCAAAAUAACUGGAAAAUCAGAUUUUUGACCGGUUGUUUCACCCCGUCGAACUGGAUCAGCAACAAACGAGUACAAACUAAUUUACUGAUGGUGUUUUUCAGGUGAAGUUUGUAUUGGAACAGCUUCGGUCUCGCUGUCCGACCAGUGAGGAGAACUUAAGUUGUGAGAGGACAAACGCCGCUUUUGGGCCACUACAGCCGUGUAUUGGUAACUGAAUAUCAGUCAGAAUAAUAAUACACAAGUAAUUUCUCAAUCACCUGCAACAGAAAGAAGACAACAUUUUUUUAAAAUAUUGUAAUUCCUAAAAUCAAAAUAAAUAUUUUUUGUUAAGUUUAUAGAUUUAUAUUCUAGAUAUUUUUAAAAGCAAUCACUCUGCCCCUUAAUAUUCAGGAAUAGAGAACCGUAAUAUUGGAAUCUUAUCAAUGCAUCUGGUACUUCGCAAAAAGAUUGCUGCAAGUACGCUCCCCGGUUUGUUGUUUUGAAAAUAAUUUUUGGUUGGUUCCUCUUUGCGGGCUGAUUGUUGGCGUUUUAUCUUUGUCAACCACACACUACAAGACGAAGGUAAAAUGCGGUUUCGUAGUUGGUUGGCUUUAUCAGUCAUCCUAUUUAUCGAAUUCAUCUCGGGUGAAAUCGAUUACAAGCUCAAGUUACCUCUCAUUAGCCUUUAUUUUUGUUUUCAAUUCCAUUCGGAAUGCAAGACAUGAUAAAGAGAACUACCGAAAAAGCCGACCAAUAACAAGUUUCAAUUUUAUACUGUAGUCUUGUCGUGUUUCGUUAGCAAACAUAAAAUUUCAUCGGCCCGAAGUUGAAUUCUGUUAAAUUAUAAAACAAUUUACCAAUGACUGACAGCCACUCUUCAGAAAUCUCGGCAAGGAAGAAAAGCAUGUAAAAUUCAAAUAUUUGAUUUUAAAAAUCUUGCGCAAAAAAAGAAGAGAAAAUUAGUGAACAAAUAAAUUGUGGGAAACAUUGAACAACGCUCGCCAUGCUAAGAAAAUAAUUUGUAUGAUCCACAAACGCGAUACAAGUUCGGUGCGUGCGGAAUCGUUUGGAAGUAGCAUUGUUGCCGAACUUAUUUUCAAGAAAACUUAAAUUU